AUUGAACGCUGGCGGCAGGCCUAACACAUGCAAGUCGAGCGCGCGGCGGACGGGUGAGUAAUGUAUGGGGACUGCCCGUGAGAGGGGGAUAUCUCCUGUAAACGCUGUCUAAUACCCCAUACUCUCUGAUAACCCCUAUGGGAUUUGCUCGUAGGUAAGGUAAUGGCUUACCUAGGCGACGAUCCCUAGCGGGUCUGAGAGGAUGAUCAGCCACACUGGGACUGAGACACGGCCCAGACUCCUACGGAGGCAGCAGUGGGGAAUAUUGCACAAUGGGCGCAAGCCUGAUGCAGCCAUGCCGCGUGUAUGAAGAAGGCCCUAGGGUUGUAAAGUACUUUCAGUGGGGAGGCGUUACCGGCAGAAGAAGCACCGGCUAACUCCGUGCCAGCCGCCGCGGUAAUAC
rnacentral:rRNA from 1 species